rnacentral:rRNA from 1 species
GUGGGGAAUAUUGCACAAUGGGCGAAAGCCUGAUGCAGCAACGCCGCGUGAACGAUGAAGGUCUUCGGAUCGUAAAGUUCUGUCGCAGGGGAAGAUAAUGACGGUACCCUGUGAGGAAGCACCGGCUAACUACGUGCCAGCAGCCGCGGUAAUACGUAGGGUGCUAGCGUUAUCCGGAUUUACUGGGCGUAAAGGGUGCGUAGGUGGUCUUUCAAGUCGGUGGUUAAAGGCUACGGCUCAACCGUAUUAAGCCGCCGAAACUGGAAGACUUGAGUGCAGGAGAGGAAAGUGGAAUUCUCAGUGUAGCGGUGAAAUGCGUAGAUAUUGAGAAGAACACCAGUAGCGAAGGCGGCUUUCUGGACUGUAACUGACACUGAGGCACGAAAGCGUGGGUAGCAAACAGGAUUAGAAACCCUAGUAGUCC